rnacentral:rRNA from 1 species
UACGUAGGCAGCGAGCGUUGUUCGGAGUUACUGGGCGUAAAGGGUGUGUAGGCGGUCCUCCAAGUUUGGUGUGAAAUCUCCCGGCUCAACCGGGAGGGUGCGCCGAAAACUGGGGGGCUAGAGUGCGGGAGGGGAGAGUGGAAUUCCUGGUGGUAGCGGUGAAAUGCGUAGAUAUCAGGAGGACACCGGUGGUGUAGACGGCUCUCUGGACGUAACUGACGCUGAGCACACGAAAGCGUGGGUAGCAAACAG